GGAACUGUGCCCGAAUGAUUAGGGACCACUUUGAUAGAGUGGCACAUAGCGGUUAAAGUCCGCUCGGUUCCU
rnacentral:tRNA from 1 species